CUGCUCAAUGAAUUUAAUUAAAUAGCUGCAGUAUCCUGACUGUACAAAGGUAGCAUAAUCAAUUGUCUUAUUAUUUAAGUCUAGAAUGAAAGAUUGAAUGAAAUAAAAUCUGUCUCAAUUUAAUUAAAAUUUAAAUUUUAUUUUAAGUAAAAAUUCUUAAAUAUAUUUAAAAGACGAGAAGACCCUAUAGAAUUUUAUAAUAUUUAUAUUAAUUUAUAAAUAAAUUUAUAUAAAUUAAUAUAAAUUUAUUUUAUUGGGGUGAUGUAAAAAUUUAAUAAAUUUUUUAAAUAAAUUUAUAACAUAAUUAUUGAAAAAUUUUUAUCCAAUAAUAUUGAAAUUAAAAUAAAUUACCUUAGGGAUAACAGCGUUAAAUUUUUAGAGAGUUCAUAUUGAUAAAAAUUAUUGCGACCUCGAUGUUGAAU
rnacentral:rRNA from 1 species